GUUUACUUGCUUUGGCCACUGUAGCCACCUUUGAAUUAUUGACAGAUCAAUCUAGACUCUAAAAGGGAAGGACCACAUUCAUUAUUGGAGCUUCAUCAUCCCUCACGUCUUUAUAUUUUGCAGUACUGGGAAUUAAACCCAGGGAUGCUGUACCACUGAGUUCCAUUCUCAGCCCUUUUUAUUUUUCUCUAUUUUGAGGGAGGGCUUCCUUAAAUUGUUAAGGCUGGCCCAGAACUUUCUUACCUCCUAACUCAGCCUCCCAAAUUUCUAAGAUUAUAGACAUGCACUACCAUUUCCUUUUUAUGUAGCAUUGAAUAGAAGUACUCCAAUAGAGGGUAUUCCUACUUACACAAGUCAGGUAAUUCAUUGACCAGAGGUAGUCAGGGAGAUAGGAAUUAUCCUAAUUUUGGAAACUCUCAAGCUUCCCAUAAUGCAUUUUGACUGUGGCCCAUCACAUGAGAUCAGGUGUGAAAUUUUCCACUUCACAGCAGCACUCAACAAGUUUCAGAUUUUGCAGUGUUUCAGAUUUUCAGAUUAGGAAUGCUCAACACAUACAGGGUUCCUAAAGUUAUAAAACCAUUGUUUUAAUGGAAAAAAAGGCAUGGAUUUGGCAAUAAUUUCUUGGAUAUGAUCCUGAAAGCAUAAAUGAAAAAAGAAAAAAAAUAAAAAUUUGCUUCAUCAGAAUCAAAAGCUUUUGUGAGUCAAACAGAAUGAGAGAAGAGAACUUGCAAAUUGUGUCUAGUAAGGGGUUAAUUUCUAAAAUGACUCAACCAUCAAAACCCAAAAAACCCAAUGCAAAUAUAGACUAAGGAUUUGAACAGAUAUUUCUUCAAAGAAGACACACAAUGGCCAACAAGUUCAUGAAAAAAAUGCUUCAUGCCACGCAACGCUCUGGAGGUGCAAUAUCAAAACCACAAUGAUAGCCCAUUUAACACCCAUUAGGACCUUUCUCAUCAACAGACAAAAUAACAAGUGUAAGUGAGAAAUUAGAAAUCUAGCACACUGCCAGGCAUGGAGGUGCCCGCCUACAAUGCCAGCUACCUGGGAGGCUGAGGCAGGAGGACAAUAAGUUUAAGGCCAGCUCAGAGACCCUCAGC
rnacentral:lncRNA from 1 species